UCUACUUUUCUAGCCGCUUGUAGGAGUAGGAUUUAGUCAUGUAGUGCGUUUUGCUCGCUUAGAGUAGUGUAGGUUUGGUUGGGACCAAGUGUAUUCGUGCAUUCCUCGUGCCAAGCGCGUGUGGACGAGUGGCUGAGGUGGAUAUGGACGAGUGCUAGGUGACGGAUGUGGACGAGUGCGAAGUGGCUCAUGUGGACUCGCGUGUGGUGGCGUGGGAGUGGUGGAUGGCGACCUGCCCGGCGCCAUCCUCUGUAACUGCAGUGCCUUCUGAAGUCUGAGCUCGGGUUCAGAGGCCUUCCACGUGCUGACGAGGACCAUGCGAAUACGGCGUGAGUCCAAUGGUGGCGGUGCGCUGCGGACGUCGGCUGGCGUCACCACCGCGGCACCGUCGGGCCAGGGUGGGAUAGCGUCGACGGGCAGCUGCUGCGUGAGCGACGUUGCCUCGCUGGAGCCGAGCUCUCCGCUCUCCAGCUGCUCGGCCGGCUCGGACGGCGGCGAGCCGCGCCCUCCGCC